GAAAGCUUACUAUCAUAACUGCCACUUAGCUUCCCUACCUCUGGUUUGGCUAUCAGUCUUGGAAACUUUAAAGGUGGUCCAUUUUUUUUUAAAAGAAUUAUUUGCCAGGCAUGGUGGCACACGCCUUUAAUCCCAGCACUUGGGAGGCAGAGGCAGGUGGAUUUCUGAGUUCGAGGCCAGCCUGGUCUACAAAGUGAGUUCCAGGACAGCCAGGGCUACACAGAGAAACCCUGUCUCAAAAAACCAAAAAAAAAAAAAAAAAAAAAAAAAAAAGAAGAAGAAGAAGAAGAAAAAAGAAAGAAUUAUUUUAUGUAUAUGCGUACACUGUAGCUAUCUUCAAACACACCAGAAGAGGGCAUCAGAACACAUUACACCAUGGGUGAGCCACCAUGUGGUUGCUGGGAACUCAGGACCUCUGGAAGAGCAGUCAGUGCUCUUAACCACUGAGCUGUCUCUCCAGCCUAGAUGGUCCUCUUGAAAGUUGCAUCCACUUUGCUAACCAAGGAACAUUCAUGUGUAUCAUCACAUCCAUCUGCAGAGGACAUUUAUUUAUAAGCAUGCAUAUAUAUAAGACAUCAACUACCCAGACUUUUGUACAGCUUUAGAACUUCACCUGCUAUCUGUCAUGUCAUGCACAGCCUGACUUUCUUUCAUGUAAAUUAAAUGUACAUGAUUUCAUCCUGCCCUUCCAUUGAUAGAGAGAACAGAGGCAGCAGGUCCUCUCCCAGUGAAACAGGAAGCUGAAGAAGUUAAGGCAGAUUGACUAGCCUCCAUUACUCUUUAUUUACCUCAUCCCAAAGAGUAGCCCCACCAGCAACACUGCCUUGAGAUAGGGAUUGAAAGCCACUGUGAUCUAAGGCCUCUGGCACUCAAGUACAUAGGAUCCAGAUAAAGUUAGAGAAUUUGAAUGAGGUCUUUAUUUAAGCUCCCUCAUACUACAAUUUGCUUAGUGUUUUCAUAGGUCUUCCCAUCAGUUUAUACUUGCUUUGUCUCAGUAUAUAUUACUCUUCAGUGCCCACUCUGUGCAUGACUUGUAGUUAAGUCUCUUUUUAAUGGUUUUAAUCAAGAUAUUUUAAUUUUCUGAUGAGUAUUGACCACGUUCAUUACUCUGCAGUAUCUUCAGGGCUUGCUGACUUAGGCACCUGUGCGCUUUCUCCUGUAGAGCACUGCAUCUCAGGCCACACCCUAGUAAGAGAUGCUGCUGGGGUUUGACCCAGAAGAACCUCGUUCCCCUGGAACUGGUGUGCAUCUUUCAGAGGCAUAACAUCAUCCCAUACCUAUAAGCUUUCUUGAAAGGAGUUUAAUUGUUCUAUUUUUCUAAAUAUUUUAAUUUCUUUCGGGAAACAAUGUAAACUAUAUAAAAUACUUAGUGUAGUGGCGUGCCAAUAGUAAGCACUUCAUAGAUUAUUGGUUAUUUUCGCACAGACAGAUUGAUACAUGUAAUUGCUUCCAGAAUUUGAGAAGAAAAUUAAAGAUUUUUGACUACAACACUACAAAGUCAUUGUCUUACACAACACCUUCUCUAGCAUCUGUUCAAUAUAUUUAAGUGAUGUCAUGUCUAUCUUGCCACCAGGUGGCAGUAUGAUAUGUAAGGAAAUCAAUGCUAGUCUGCUGUUUUGACUUAAAAGCUGUAAAGCCAUAAUAAAAAGUGUGCUGCAUCAUCCCUUCCCCACAUCCCUCCAGCGCACUCAGAGUGUCAUGUGUGUGUCAUGUAUGUUGUGUGUUAGGACCCAGUACUGCCCAGCACUCAUCUUCCAUGAGUUAAUGCAGAAAACCCUUUUCUCCUGGCCUACAAUAUAAGCUCUUGUGCUUAGAUUCUCCCAGCCAACUGGUGUUAGUUCAGCAGCAGUGGAAAGUGCGCCCUCUCUUAUGGUGUCUACUCAUCACUUACUCGGUGCCCUUGUCAGUAAUGCACGCAACAGCAUCAGGAUAGUUAGUACCUGAGCGUUGUUCUUGAAUAAUACCCCAUUUGUAGUGGGUCUGGUGGUGGUGCUUGGUUAGUUGGUUUGUUUUGUCUGUUUGUAGACAGGGUCUCAUGUAGUCCAGGGUGGCCUCAAACCCACUGUGAGGCCAAAGCUGGCCUUCAAUUCCUGAUCCCCCUGCCUCCACCACCCAUGUGCUGGGAUUAUAGACAUAUCUGCUUUAUAAGUGCUGAGGAUCAAACCCAGGACCAUGUAUAUGCUAGGUAGGCAUGCCCUCUCCUACUCGUGCUAUACCACAGCCCUGCAUCUGUAACGUUGUUAGAUAGAGGUGACUUGGGCUGGCUGGACGGGUGCUUGCACUUUUGCCAUGGACCAGUUCCAUUCAGAUAACUGCUACCAAGGGCUGGAAAUCAGUGCCUGAAGUAGAAGGCAAGAAAAGUCAUGACAAAUAAAGAAAAUGAAUGUAAAGGACCGACGGUAGCAACUACUCAAAAGAUGGUGAAGGAGAAAGACUGGUGAUGCAGGAUUACAGAGCUAAGACAGAGCAGUGCACAGGAGCAGAACAUACCACUUGCUGGCCAUAGGGAGUUACCUGUGCUUCACAAACACGUGUCUGCCAGGACAUUAUUUUACAAAACUUAGGAUGAACUACUUUGACAUCAGUUUCUUAGAAAAUUUUUGCCCUGGGGUAAAAAAAAAAAAAAAAAAUGCCUUGUUGCUUGCUCCCUUCCUCUUAGUAAAGCC
rnacentral:lncRNA from 1 species